GGGAGGAGGGUGAAAGGAUGAAGGGUGGAGGGAUGAUAGAGGAGGGUGGAUGGAGGUUGGAGGAUGAAGGGAUUUAGGAUGAAGGGUGGAGGAUGAGGGGAUGAUGGGUGGAGGAUGAUGGGUGGAGGUUGGAGGGUGGAGGACAGGAGUGUGUGAUCAAAGCGCUCUCAUGAUGAGACUCCUUGGUUUUUUCGGCGCUGCGCCCUGAAUCAGUGUUGAAACGGAGCAGCCAAUCACAGACCUCCAUCUCCACACCUCCACCUUCUGCCUCACCCUCUCCCCCCUCCCAGCCCCCAGGCGUCCAGAUGUUGCCGUCACCCGCGUUCUGCAGAGGCGCCGCAGCGUGGAACUGCCUGAAGUGAUGACAAUAAACACCUCCGCCAUAACCUGGGCCUCCUCAUUUGCAUAUUCGCCUUCGUCUUUAAUCUGAAAUAUGCAAAUGUAUGAAAAUGAAAUCCAUCUCCUAAUGACACCAGACGAUUAAACAAUUUUUAUGCUUAAAUAUUCUGUUUAAUGAAAUCAAACGGGCCCACGCGCCGCGACAAAUUCGCCGAGGCACGGGCGAAAUGAGAGGAUAUCACAAAAAAGAGCGAGGAAACGAGGGGGAGAGGGGGGAGGAUGGGGGAGGAUGGGGGAGGGAAAUGCCUGUGGUUGGAGGUUUGACAGCUUUUUAAAGUGUCCCUCAGAAAAAAAAACACAUCAGUGAGCUCCUGAAUUCAGAUUCUGUAACAAUUAUCAAAUCUGUCAGCUCCGCUUUUCAUACUCCCACUCCCUCAGCCGAACGAACAGCGGGUGACGAGGAGGAGAAAAUCUACGCCUGAAAACAGAGGAGGAGGAGGAGGAGGAGGAGGAGGAGAAAAUCUACGCCUGAAAACGGAGGAGGAGGAGGAGGAGGAGGAGAAUAUCCGUGUCUCUGACGGAGGUUUUUAAAACAGCUGCUCCAUCCGUCUCCACCUUACAGACGCUCCUCCACCUGAGCCUCACCUGUCCGAGGACACAGACACACAAACAGGAAACGAACACGGGGUAGAGGUCAGAGGGAGCGCCAUCAGACAGGAGGAGGAGAAGAAGGAGGAGAAGGAGAAGGAGGAGGACCUGGAGGAGAAGGAGGAGACAGCGCUGGGAUUAAAGGUGGAGUCUGCAGCUGCUUCGUUGUGGCGUUUUCUGUGACUGAUGGAGGCGCACAUGAAUAUAAAGGAGGUGAUUAUUAUUGAUUAUUAUUGAUUAUUAUUGAUUAUCACUGAUUAUUAUUGAUUAUUAUUGAUUAUUAUUGAUCAUGCCCUUUGUCUCCGGUUCUGUUCAGAACC